rnacentral:rRNA from 1 species
UACAGAGGUGGCAAGCGUUGUUCGGAAUUACUGGGCGUAAAGGGCGCGUAGGCGGCCUUCUAAGUCAGACGUGAAAUCCCCCGGCUUAACCUGGGAACUGCGUCUGAUACUGGGAGGCUUGAGUAUGGGAGAGGGAUGUAGAAUUCCAGGUGUAGCGGUGAAAUGCGUAGAUAUCAGGAGGAACACCGGUGGCGAAGGCGGUGCUCUGGGCCAGUAUUGACGCUGAGGAGCGAAAGCGUGGGUAGCAAACAGG